UCCGGUUUGUCACCGGCAGUCUCAUUAGAGUGCCCAACUGAAUGUAGCAACUAAUGACAAGGGUUGCGCUCGUUGCGGGACUUAACCCAACACCUCACGGCACGAGCUGACGACAACCAUGCACCACCUGUAAACCGACCGCAAGCGGGGCACCUGUUUCCAGGUAUUUCCGGUUCAUGUCAAGGGUAGGUAAGGUUCUUCGCGUUGCCUCGAAUUAAACCACACGCUCCGCUGCUUGUGCGGGCCCCCGCCUAUUCCUUUGAGUUUUAACCUUGCGGCCGUAGUCCCCAGGCGGUGAACUUAAUGCGUUAGCUGCGGCACUGAUCGGGUCAAUCCGACCAACACCUAGUUCACAACGUUUAGGGCGUGGACUAC
rnacentral:misc_RNA from 1 species